CGAACGUUAGCGGCGCGCCUAACACAUGCAAGUCGCACGAGAAAGGGAGCAAUCCCCGGUACAGUGGCGCACGGGUGAGUAACACGUAGAUGACCUUCCCUGGAGUGGUGGAUAACCUGCCGAAAGGCGGGCUAAUACGGCAUGGGACCACACGGUUUUGACCGAGUGGUGAAAGCGGGCCUCUGUUCACAAGCUCGCGCUCUGGGAUGGGUCUGCGUCCCAUCAGCUAGUUGGUGAGGUAAUGGCUCACCAAGGCAUCGACGGGUAGCUGGUCUGAGAGGAUGACCAGCCACACUGGAACUGAGACACGGUCCAGACUCCUACGGGAGGCAGCAGUGGGGAAUCUUGCGCAAUGGGCGAAAGCCUGACGCAGCGACGCCGCGUGGGUGAUGAAGGCCUGCGGGUUGCAAAGCACUUUCAGUGGGGAAGAACAGAUUCGGGUCAAUACCCCGGAGCCCUGACGUUACCCACAGAAGAAGCACCGGCUAACUCCGUG
rnacentral:rRNA from 1 species